rnacentral:rRNA from 1 species
AGGACGAACGCUGGCGGCGUGCUUAACACAUGCAAGUGGUGCGACGAACCAGGGCUUGCCCUGGGGCAAAGCCGCGAACGGGUGAGUAACACGUGAGUAACCUGCCCCGAUGACCGGGACAACCCGAGGAAACUCGGGCUAAUACCGGAUGUGGCGCACAGGUCUAAGCCUGUUCGCUAAAGGAAGCUUCGGCCUCCGCAUUGGGAGGGGCUCGCGGCCCAUUAGCUUGUUGGUGGGGUAACGGCCUACCAAGGCUGCGAUGGGUAGCUGGUCUGAGAGGACGAUCAGCCACACUGGGACUGAGACACGGCCCAGACUCCUACGGGAGGCAGCAGUGGGGAAUAUUGGACAAUGGGGGCAACCCUGAUCCAGCAAUGCCGCGUGAGUGAAGAAGGCCUUCGGGUUGUAAAGCUCGUUUUGGUAGGGUACGAUAAGUGACGGUACCUAUCGAAUAAGCACCGGCUAACUCUGCGCCAGCAGCCGC